UACGUAGGGGGCAAGCGUUGUCCGGAUUUAUUGGGCGUAAAGAGCGUGUAGGCGGCUAGGUAGGUCCGUUGUGAAAACUCGAGGCUCAACCUCGAGACGUCGGUGGAAACCAUCUAGCUAGAGUCCGGAAGAGGAGAGUGGAAUUCCUGGUGUAGCGGUGAAAUGCGCAGAUAUCAGGAAGAACACCCGUGGCGAAGGCGGCUCUCUGGUACGUGACUGACGCUGAGACGCGAAAGCGUGGGGAGCGAACAGG
rnacentral:rRNA from 1 species